UUGCAAAAAAAUAAUAAUUCAAGAUUGAAGUUCACAAAAAUACGAUUUUUGCAUUUUCCAGUUAAACGGUAAGUUUUAUCAUAAAAUAUGUCAGACAAAAAUUGUAGAUCAUGUAAUUAGCUUUAAAAAUUUUAUUAUACCUACUUU